rnacentral:rRNA from 1 species
GGAUCCUAGCGUUGUUCGGAAUUAUUGGGCGUAAAGCGGAUGUAGGUGGCUUUGUAAGUCAGAUGUGAAAGCCCAGGGCUCAACCCUGGAAGUGCAUUUGAUACUGCGAAGCUUGAGUGUCGGAGAGGUUACUAGAAUUGUUGGUGUAGUGGUGAAAUACGUAGAUAUCAACAGGAAUACCGGAGUUGAAGGCGGGUACCUGGCCGAACACUCUCGUUGAGAUCCUAAAGCGUGGGGAUCAAACAAGAUUAGAUAACCGGGUAGUCCUCCCCGUAAACGAUGGAUACUUGGUAAGGGAGGGGUGGCCCACUGUGAUGCAAGA